CGCAGCCUCGUCGAUGAGGUCGGCGACGGCCUUCGGCUGCGAGGCGAGCGAGGCAUGGCUCGCGUCGAGCUCGAUCGUCUUCUGCGGCUGCAUCC
rnacentral:tRNA from 2 species